rnacentral:lncRNA from 1 species
AAGAAAAAGGUAUUAUUGCACUGUUUUCUGGCUUUGAUAGUUGUUGAGAAGUUUGCUGCCAGCUUUGUAUUACCUAUUUUUCUCUCUGGCUACUUUAAUAUCUUCUCUUUGUCUUGAUAUUCCAUGUUUUGACUAUAAUGUGUCUAGGUAUGGAUUGAUUUAUUCUGCUUGGGAUACAUUAUGUUUUGUGUUAAUCCCCAAUUACUGUCUUCUCAAAUAUCAUCUCUUACCUGUUUUUUUUCUAUUUUUUCAUGUUGGGAAGCUGAUUCAUUGGCUGUAAGAUCUUCUCAUUCUGUUUUCCAUAUAUUUUCACUUCUUAUUUCUGCUUCCCAUCCUUUUGUGUUGUGUUAUUAGCCAGUUCUAUCACUCUACUUUUUUCGUCUUCCUUACGUGUAAUUGGAUAUUUAACCCCAACUUAGACUUUUUUCCAACAAUGGUUUCAUUUCUGGAAGCAAUUACAAACAUACCUGGCCAUUUCUAUUACAGGUUGAGUAUCCCUUAUCAGAAAUACUUUGGACAAAAAGUGUUUUGAAUUUUGGAAUAUUUGUGUCAUGCUUAUCAAAUGAGCAUCCCAAAUCCAAAUAUUUGAAAUUUGAAAGGCUCCAGUGAACAUUUCCUUUAAGCAUCUUGUUGGCGCUCAAAAUGUUUUAGAAUUUGGAGUAUUUUGAAUUUUGGAUUUUCAGAUUUGGAAUGCUCAGCUCAUAAUUUCUCAUUUCUUCUUCAUUUUUAUGAUUCAAAUUUUUGUUUUUUUAUAUGUUAUAUUCAUAAUUGCAUUCUGGUCUAUAUUUGAUAAUUAAAGAAUUCAGAGUUCUUAGAGAUCUAAGUAUAUUGAUGGCUGUUUCUAUGGAGUCUCACUCAUGAUGGCUUGUAUUCUUGUAUUUUUGUAAUAUUUGACUGUAUUAUAUUUAUUUAAUUUCACUUUCUAGGAACUAUGUGGGCCUAAAUUGUCCAUGGUUUUCUUCACAGAAGAUUCCAUUGGCUUCUGCUAAGGGAUUCUCACAAUUUGGAGCUACAAUGCCCUCUUUAAUGGUCUCUGACUUUAUUGUGAGUGUUUCAAACUCAGGUCCCCAUUUUGCUGCUGUACCAAGAUAUUGCUUUAGUAUUGCUAAAAUGUUUGCUCUUGAGGCAACCCCAUUCUAAAAGCCUGCUGAUUACUUCCAGACCUGCUUUCAGCUUUGGUAGAGGUGUGAGGGCCCUGGAGAUUUCCAUUUUUUCCUGAAGACCUAGUAAUGCAUUAAAAAUAAUAUUUUAUCUGGGAUAUAGUUGUUUUAGUGCAAUAGUUCUUUAGAUUAUAUAGUCUGUGACUCUGCCAAAAAUGAAUUUGCAAACUCUGGUUUUAAUUGAUAAUCUGCUCACUCUACAGAUGUUGAAAAUCUCCCAGUAGGAUCUGUGCUUAUGAAAAUACUUUGAUAAAUAUUUCAGAGGAUUUGACCAUAGGAGCUUAGAGACUGAUGUAGGAAAUAGGUCAGGCAUACUUAAGAAUAUGUAGCCAACAAAGAUACAGACAUCACUGCUGAGGACUGGAAACUGGUUUAUGCCUGCAGUUAGGAAGAGUGAAUGGCCAGCCAAUUUGUGAUGGAGAUUGUUUUACAUUUUUACAGUCAAGGCUUAGUAUUAUUUUAACCUCUUUAAUGAAGGCUUCUCUGAUACCAUAAAAUAACUGAUCUCCCUCCAACCCCCAACCUCCAACUCAGUUCAACUGUACUUUGUAUCUCUCUUACGCAUGUAUUAAAAUUCCUAGGCUAGUCUCUGAACUCCCUGAGUUCAGGGUGUUUGCCACACGUUUUUACAUAUCGCUCCAAUACUUGGCAUUGUGCCAGGCAAAUCAUGGUAUACAAACCAUAUUUAUUGAAUUAGUUAAUUAUAUGUUCUAUUGCAAGCAUUGCAAACAUUUAUACACUUCUCUCCAUUUAUAGUGUAAGUCCCCAGACUGGGUCUUAUUUAAUCUUUUUAUUCUCUCAACAUCUAGCUUAGAGUCUUAAAUAAGAUAGGUAUUGAAAAAUAUAAGUAAGUGAACUAAGUAAAUGUUAAAUAAAUAUGCCUUUGAAUGUUGGAUAACGAUUUUAAGUCUUGAUGCUUUCCUGUAAGGUAUUAGUGCCUAUAAAUAAGUGAAGACACACUUUGCAUUCCCACAAGUAUAUAUGACCAUUUCAUCCUGCAUUUUCUGGUGAAGACUCAUCCUGCUCUACUCUUUCAUGUGCAGGUUUGUAUUUUGUAUAUUGAAUAUUUCUUUUCCAAAAUAUAAGUGUAAAUAGAAUUCUAAAUUUCCUAUUUUCUAAGGAUUUAAUUGUGUCCUCUCAAAAUUCAUACAUUGAAGCCCUAACCCCCUAAUGUGACUAUAUUGAAAGAUGGAGCCUAUAAGGAGGUAAUUAAAGUUAAAUGAGGUCAUAAGGAUAUGGCCCUGAUUCAACGGCAUUGGUGUCCUUGUAAGACACACAGAGCAAGCGUUCUCUCUCUCUCCUCUCAUUCUCUCUUUCCUUCAUUCUUUCCCUCUCUCCCUCUCUUCCUCUCUCUGUGGAGAAAGCAGGCAUUUCCCAGCCAGGAAAAAGCCCUCACCAGAACCUGACCACGCUGGCACCCUGAUCUUGGACCUCCAGCUUCCAAACCUUUUAGAAAUAUAUUUCUAUUGUUUAAGCUACCCAGUCUAAAGUAUUUUUUUAAUGGCAGCCUGAGCUGACUAAGACCUUUUGUUUUUGGUUUGAAUAUUUAUAGGUAAUGCACAAUGUCAUCACAAUUUAUGCUUCAUUUUUAUAAGUGUCUGAGGGAUUGAAAGGACUACAGAAGGGAAAAGAAGGGAAUAAUGUGGGAUACUACCUGAGGAACUUCUACUUGAAUUACAUUCUAAGGGAGCUAAUGACGUGGCUUAUAGGAGGGGGGUAUUUUAGGUUAGAAAGAAAUAUUAGAACUGAGGUUAUAGCCAUUCAUCUAAUCACUCAAGAAAUAUACAGACUUUUUUCUGAUGCCACGAAUGGAGGUCCAUCUGACUCAUAACUUACAGGAAAAAAACACUACACAAAAUAGUCCUUCAGUAAAUGCUGAAAUCAUGAAAGGUCUGUUUUUCCCACUCUGAGAAAUCCAUUUACCUUUCUGAAUGUGUAUAGAGCACUUACUAAUCUCCUUGACCACUUUGGGUUGAGGAGGGUACAAAGGAGGAGGCCAUCCUACAAAUUAUUUUAAUUAUUUUAUUGUGUAUUGAAUCCCUUGUUUGGGGUCAGGUGUUUAAUACUUGCAGUCAACCUGUGGUUUCUCUUUGUGUCAUCUCAUUUCAUGUUCAUUCCUGCUGCUUGGUAUGGGUGAGAACCUCCACCUUUACCUUGGACAGCUGGAUAAAUUUCAUGUGAGACUAUCUCUUGAAACAAUAAAUUGCUUUCUUCUUUGAACUGAAGUAUAAUUUGUUCCCUGACAAAUGAAGCCCACCAGCUCCCACCUGCCUGAAAUUGAAAAAGUAAGGACAUCAGAUUACUCCUGAACUCCUUUUGAGAAGGAGCCUUCUGUGAGUAUGAAACUUAAUGACUGCACCUAAUAGUUUCAGUCUAUUCCAUCAAAAGGUUUGCAGAGCAAGGCUGCUCCAUUGUCAUUGGUCUUUACUUAUUGUAUUUUGCAAAGGAACAGAAUUGGACCAUGCAAUAUGCAUUGUUUUUUAUUAUUCAUACUUGAGGUAAAACAAAGCUGAUGGCUUUUUGGGGAUUUAGAUAAGACCAGAGAGUUUUACUUCCAUGUAGGAUCAGAAAGUACCGUGUUGUCCUGUAUUUGAAGUAGAGACACUUGUGACUGGCUUGAUACUGGCAUUUGCUUCCCAGAUGGACCAGUAUCUAAUUCAGAAAGAUUUAGAGAACCACUUCUGUCCCUUGUUUAUGCUAGGCACUGUGAGAAAAGCAAGAGAAGUUUACAACACUGCCUCUGACCGCUGAAGCUUUCAUCUCUGCUUCUAGAGAGAAGAAAAGAUACAAUUAAGAAAUUUGUGUGCUAAAUGCUAGGGUAAUAUGGGUUCUAGAAAUUUUGGCACAAUCUUUUUGGUAUAGGUGUUAGUAAAGGGGCAUCAGCUGCAUCUAUUUUGGAAGAAAAACUGAGUUUGACAAUAACAUUUCAAAAUCUUUAUUAUUUUAGAGAAGAAAUUGCGUGGCCGAUCCAGGAACGCUAUCUCAGCACUGAACAAAGACUACUUUUAUUGAAGUCACUGUCAUUUUACAAUGAUCUGAUUUGCUUUUGAUAGAGUCCUCAGAACAUCUUGGAGCAAGGUGCUCAGGCUUCAAGUUAAGACUUUGCUUUUUAUAACCAUGAAGAGUUUUUUAACAUUGUAAAAAAGUAUGACAUUUAAAUAGGGGAAAACUAACAAAAACACACAAAAUUCUAUUAUCUGGUAAAAAAUAACUUUUUAAUUUUUUUGUUCUAAAUAUAGUUGGUUAUGAUUAGCAUGUAUCUUUGAUGUUUAUUUUUUCUUUUACUCUAUUGUCUUUUAGGAAACACCAAUUAUCUUUAUUUUGUAUUUCUAUUUUUUUUGUUGUUUUUUUCUUACACAUUUUUGAUUCUCUCUACUUUCUUUGACAUUUUGUAUGGUAUACUUUUUCUUUUAAUUCAGUCUAAAUUUCUGCAAUGAUAUUUUUCUUCUGCUUAAUUUUCUUCCUUAGCUCCUCAGCCUCCAUUUUACCCAUUCUGUAAUCUCUUGUAUUAGAUAUUUUUUUAAAAAAUAAAGUAUCAUUUGUCUUUUAUUCUUUUUGAAAGUGGAAGGCAAUUGUUGCCUCAAAUGUUCCUUAUCUUUCAGAAAUAGUCUGUCUUUAGCUUUUACUUGUUUCUUUCCUGUAUCCAUCUCAGAAUUUUUGUUAGAUUCCAUGUUGAUUUUUUAAAAAUUUUUCUUUGUGCACAGGUAAGCUUUUGUUUGCUGGUGUGUUAUCUCAUUCAAGGCAAUUAUUUCUAGAUUACAGCCAAUCUUUCUUCUGUUAGUCAGUGACAAAUUUAUCUGGUUGCUGGCUGCAGUUUGCUUUUUAUACUCAGUCGGUGAAAAGAUUUAAGUUCAGGCCGGGCACGGUGGCUCAUGUCUGUAAAUCCCAGCACUUUGGGAGGCCGAGGCCGGCAGAUCACCUGAGGUCAGGAGCUCAAGACCAGCCUGGCCAACACAGUGAAAUCCCAUCUCUACUAAAAAUACAAAAAUUAGCCGGGCAUGGUGGCCUGUGCCUGUAGUCCCAGCUACUGGGGAGGCUGAGGCAGGAGAAUCGCUUGAACCUGGGAGGCAAAGGUUGCAGUGAGCCAAGAUUUUGCCACUGCACUCCAGUUAAAUAAAAUAAAGUAAGUGCAAUAUUAACAACUCUCUCCUGGUCUACUCAUCUCCUUAAUCCCCAUGUUACAGAUGAAAUAGCUGGGGCAAAGAGAAGUCGGGGGCAAGUCUUAACAUAGAUAGUGACAGGACAAGGACUGGAUGCCUUUUUUCCUGAAAGACCCUUAUCCCAGAGAUUUUGCUACACAAAGUACUGUGUCAGAAAGUUUAUAAGGAUUUUGACCUUCUUGUUAAACAAGUCAGCCAUCCAAGGGAGAUGACAGCUUUGCACAGAUAUUUGGUUCUGGAACUGAUGCUAUUAAUUUGAGCUGUCUUUGUGGUUGGGCUUACUUAUGAAUGUAAUUCCUUUAGUCAAAGGAUAUGAGAUUACCAAAUAUUUCACUGUGCCACAACGUGGGUCACUAUUUUUCUGUCUUCCUAUAGUGACUUUCUUGCCAUUUUGCCAGCCUUAUCUAACAGUUUCUUGUGAUAUUUCCAGCGUCCUAAAAAUGGUCUCCUGAGCAUUUUUAGCCUCCUAUAACAGUUUAUUUGCUCCCUAAUGUCUGUUUCCACAACAAAUUCCAUACACUGUAGGUUAUUGCCAUAUCAGACCUCACUUUCAGUAUCAACUUCUUAAAUCAGUUAUCUAUUGCCAUUAUAUGGUGCUGUAUAACAAGCCACGCACCAGACAGCAGAUGAUUGGUGCUAGAAACAAUCAACAUAUAUCAAACAUCUUUCAGACCUAGGUAUUGUUCUAGAUGCUGAGAUUCACUUUUGGAGGAGUGGUCAUGGUGGUGAGAAGUGCAUUGCGGGUGGAGAUGGCAAACUGACAAUUCAUAACUUUAUCAAGAAAAGCGCACCGAUAAAACUCUGCUGUAGCCCCUCAGGGACUCUCCACCACUACUAUAGUCCAUUGGCAACGUUUACUUCACAAAGUUGCAUAAUGAGCUCUGUUCAUAUGUCACAUCUUCCCAUAAAUGGCUUGGUUCUGUUGUGCCCACUUCUUGGCUUGUUGGCUAUAACUUCCUCUUUUUCUCCCAUUCAAGAAGACAUAUCAGUAUGUUAGUAACUGAGGAUUAUGAAUGUUAUUACAGGACUAACUUUGAACUUGUAGUGUAUCAAAACAGUUAAUCAUAUAAAAAAACCUUAGUUAUUUAAACUUUAUCUGUAAUAUCUCACUUAUGAACCAUCUCUCUCCUGGUUGUAAAUUACCAAUUUGUUUACUGACUGGCAAAUAUUAUGAUGGAAAAGUGUUUGAUGAGAUAAAGUUAAGAUUCAUUAACAUUCAGUAAUGCAAGACCCUCCAUGCUGUCUUUGCUUAGCUCUCUGCCCCCAGUCUCAUUGCUUGCCUACCAAACUGAUUGUAGGAGCCGCAUGAUGCACAUGACCUUGCUUCUAACCUACCUGGAUGUUUUCACACUCUGCUGUCUCUUUGAAGUGACUUCCUCUUCUUUCUUCCCUCUUCCUUGCAGUGGCUGUUAUGAUCUUUAAAGAUCUGGUUCAAACAUCACCUCCUCCAUGAGGUUUUUCUGGUUUACCUCGGUCUACUCCCCCAAAUCCUCCUCUAAGCUCUUACAACAUUCUUUGCAUAGCUCUAUCCUUACCACAUAGUGUACCUACUUUAAAUUUUUGUGCCUAUUAUCUGACUAGACUGAUCUCCUGUGGACAAGCACUACGUCUUGUUGUACCUUGAAUCCCCAGAGUCUAGCACAGUGCCUGACACACUCUAUACACAUGUGUUUAUCACUGAAUGAAAGGGAACGAUAAUUAAUACAUGAAUGAGAAUAUAGGCAUACAAAUAUACUUGCAAAUUUCAAGUUUUAAAUUUGUAAAGUGGCAAAUUUACUGGACUAAGGAUAGGCUCAACUGUCUGUCUCAUGCUUGAACUCCUGGAAGACAGAAGAUAGCUCUUUCUAGAGGUCUCAAUUCUGUUGCUUUCCAACCCAGGGUACUCCUGAUUUGAAUAUCUUCCAAUUCUCUUACUGACCUUUUUCUUUUUUACUUAAUUAAAAAUGGUUAACACAUAACUAUUAAAUUGUUAAUAAGAAGGAAUAAUCUCACUAUUAAUUUGAAAAUAUUUUAUUCAGAGGAUAGACUUGCUGCAAGAUUUCAGUGUUGGCUGCACAAUAAUUAAUGAAUUUAAUUUCUGGUGCUAAAUACAUCAUAAUUUGAGGCUGAGGUUAUUUGCUAAUUGCAAUUAGGCUCAGAAGAGAGCCUGUUUUCUUAUCCUGCCAUCAUCUGUUUACUUCCUUUUAAAAGCACAUAUCCCCAAAUAAACCUUCUAGAAGGUUGAGUUGACAAGAACACUGGGACCUCUCUCUGGACUUCAGAAUGCCCAUGAGUUUGUGUUUGCUGAGGAUUGUGACAGUUUGCUCUCAUACACAGAUCACAUGCAGGCAGGUCUGGGUCUGAAGGCCUCCUUCAGCUCUUGCUCCCUGUGUGACUUUGAGAGAGCUACUUCACCUUUUGAGCCCUAGUUUCCUCAUCUGAUAAAACAAGGAUUACUAAUACCUAAGUCAUAACUACAUGUAGUAUAUUUAAAAAUCUGGGACACAAUAGAUGCUCAAUACUUGGUACUAAUAUUGUAAUCUCUGCUUCAACAGGGUUGAGGAUCUCUCUAUCCAAUUACGAGCUAAGUGCCAAAUACAUUGAGAUUCAGGCCCACCUUUCUAACUCCCCUGCACCUGCAGCCUGGCUCUAAUGCUCUCACUUUGAACUGUUAUUCUUACAGUCACCACCCUUUCAAUGCAUCAUCACCCGGCUCCCAGGUUGUAAAAUGAGAAGGGCUGUGAUCUGCCAAGGCUAAACCAUGGAUGAAGGGUACCCUUCUUGGGGUCAGGCCUUCAAGGACUAUGGCCUUCACUUGCCUGACCUCUCUGUGUCACUCCGAUGCCUUGGCUCCCUGUUAGGAGAGCCCCUUUUUAAAACCCAGAGUUAAAGCAGGCAGGUGUGUGUCUCAUCUUUCAUUGUGUAUUUCUUUUUUUUUGUGCUGAUGGGAAUGGUAUUGGAUGCAGCAAGCCAAGGAAGAGAGGGGAUGCAGAUGGGGGCAGGAGCCCUGUGGUAUUCGAUUCCCUCAACUGCGUGCUGCAGAACCAACUGCUCGGCAAUGGGCCCCGCUCAUUAUACACCACAUCCACUGGUAGAGCCUCAGUGCAUCCCAAACCUGACUUAGCAGGCAGCCUCCACCUUCUCAACUAAUUGAAAGGCAGCUGAGGGGACAGCUGUUCAUGCUAACCUGGCCAUAAAAAGCUUCUGAGGUUUGUGUUUGCAGUUCUCACAGAGGGAGCCAUUGUCUCAGUUCAGGACAACCCGUGCUUAGAUUUAAUUAAUUCAAUGUUUCUUAUCAAGUUGAAAUCAGGAGGGUUUUCAGGUCAGCUGGAUGGGAGACCAUGUUUGGUUUGUUGGUUAAUGAGUUUUGUAAAUAAAAAAUAGGUGGAGACCUCUAUAGCUUCGGAUCACAGGAAGGAGCUGAAACUAGAGAAAGCACCAUUUUACUGCAUUCCUCAGUCAGUUAGAAUUGUGUUGCUUCAACUUGAGGAGAACAGAUCAAACGAGGAUAUUACAGCUUAAUAUCAUGGUUUUCCCAAAAAAGGAGCUUUCAGGCUGUGACAUAGAAUUAGUACAUAGUCUCCAUUUCUGUUUAUAAUAAUAUCUCAUGCUCUGAGUGAUAAUUUUUAGGCUGUGAGUGAUAAUGGUUAAUUAAAAGGAGACUGAAUUAUUUUCCAUAGCUUGAGUUGAGGCCAGCUUUAGCUGUAGGCAGAGCAAUCUUUGAUUAUUGACUGUGACUUACUUAUGUGGCACUUGUAAUCUUCUAUUUCAUUUCCUCUGUACUUAAAAUCCCUUGAAUGGACAGAGGGCCUUUUAUUGCUCAUCAGAGAUAAAGCUUAGCACACAAUUCCGAUGUGAAAGAAGCCCUGGACUUGCACACUCUGCUGAAAGUGACCUUUGUGAGGUAUUUUCCUAGUUUCCCUGAGGUGAGGUAGGUAGAAAGAAGUGAGGUAGGAGGAAAGUACUGGACAUCUGGAAGGGGAUGGGGUGCCAGCUAGAGGGAGGUGGAAGGAGGUUACAGAAUGGAGACAGGCUUUGCCCUGGUUUGCUUUCUUUUCUUUUUAAUUGAUUUGCUUUCUUUUAGAAUUAAUACUAUUUUUAAUUGACAGGUAAUGAUUGUAAAUAUGUCUGGGGUACAAUGUGAUGUUUGGAUGUAAGAAUACAAUGUGGAAUGAUUAAAUCAAGCUAGUUAACAUAUCCAUCAUCUCACUUAUUAUUUUUUGUGGUUAGAUAUUUGAAAUCUGCUCUUAGCAAUUUUGAAAUAUACUAUACAUUAUUAAUUGUAGUCACUCUGCUAUGCAAUAGGUCUCACAGACUUAUUUCUUCUGUCUAACUGAAACUAUGUACCUUAUAACCUACAUUUCCCUAUCCACCUCCUACCCCUCAGCCUCUGGUAAUUACCACUCUACUCUCUCUGCUUCCAUAUGUUUGAAUUUUUUAGAUUCCACAUAUAAGUGAGAACAUGUCAUACUUGUGUUUCUUUCCCUGGCUUAUUUCACUUAGCAUAAUGUCCUCCAGGUUCAUUCAUGUUUUCAUAAAUGAUAGAAUUUCCUUCUAUUGGCUGGGUGAGGUGGCUCACGCCUGUAAUCCCAGCACUUUGGGAGGCCGAGGCGAGAGGAUCACAAGGUCAGGAGAUUGAGACCAUCCUGGCUAACAUGGUGCACCCCAUCUCUACUAAAAAUACAAAAAAUAAAAAUAAAAAUUAACUGGGCCUGAUGGCAGGUGCCUCUAGUCCCAGCUACUCUGGAGGCUGAGGCGGGAGAAUGGCAUGAACUCAGGAGGCAGAGCUUGCGGUGAGCCGAGAUUGUGUCACUGCACUCCAGCCUGGGUGACAGAGUGAGACUCCGUCUCAAAAAAAAAAAAGAAAAAAAAAAGAAUAAAUAAAAAUUUAAAAAAAUAAAAAUAAAAGAAUGAUGUCCUUCUAUUUAAAAACAGAAUAAUAUUCCAUUGUGUAUAUAUACCACAUUUUCUUUCUUUAUCUGUUGAUAGACACUUAGCUUGCUUCCAUACCUUUGCUAUUGUGAAUAAUGCUGCAAUGAACAUGGGAAUUCAGAUAUCUCUUCUCUUCAACACAUUAACUUCAAUUGUUUUGGAUAUAUGCCCAGAAGUAGGAUUGCUGGAUCAUACAGCAGUUCUUUUUUAAACGUUUUUUUGAAGGCCUGUCUGGUCCCCUUCAAAUCCUCUCCCGGCCUUUUCAUUGAAUAUCCAGGUGUCUGUUGGCUUUCGUUCCUCUUGCCAGAAACAAUCAGAAAAUAGUGUAAGUAGAUAUACAUUCAGAAGCAGUAGUUUCAGUAAUAGUUAUUGCUUUUUUUUUUUUUGAUAAGGAAGAUAUAUGAGAAAAAGGACUAAAACUACAAAUCAUUUAGGAACAACAUCAGAUAUCAAACACCUUGAAGGUCUUUAGGGAGAGUCAGACUAACAGUACCUGAGUAGGAUUCUGUUAAACUCGGUGACCAAUAUUUAGAAAGGGUAAAUAAUUUCCCCAAGAUCACCCAGCUAGACAGCAGGAAUUGUGGGCUUAACCGCUUUGCUAACUGCUUCUAGAGUCAAUUCUGUGGUCUUCAGGUUUUUUGCAGUACACUUGUGGACGGCACAGGAUCCUUUUCCUUGAGUUUCUUUCAUUUCAUGGAUCCUUGGUUCCCCUCAAGGAUACCGGUGUAUAGGAUUGAAUCCUGACUUGCAUAACAAUAAGCUGACUGAAGCUUGUUUACAUUUGAUUGCUGUUCACUUUGCAUCCUCCCAACAUGGACCCAGGUGCUCUUUGCUCUUGCCUUGGAGAAUAGGAUUCUUUAGGUGACCUGACUUGGUACUUAACACUCCUACUGCUUUUGUUUUUCUUCUGCAAAGCCACCUUCUUCAUGUAGCUGUUUUGAGAUUUACGUUGUUCUUAAUUCAAGCAAACCCUGAACAGGGUUUGCCCUCUGUUGAUUCUCCUGUAAGUUGCUUCAGUUUUCCUUCUCUUUCCAUGCUUGCCUUUUGCUAUGUCCCCUUCCUUACAGGAAUGCUAGCCCGUCCCGAGCUUAAAAGAGUCACUAUGACCAAAGUAGGCCUGUACAAGGAAAAUAGAUUUCCAAAACAUUGGCUGAAAAUUCAAUGCAAAAUUUUAAUUAAUUUCCAGUCCAUUUCAGCAAAUUGUUUUUCUCUUCUCUGCAUAUUUCAUUUAAUUGGAGCUUUCCUCUAAUAAGUCAAAAAUACCAGACCAAAGAGUUGAACAAAAUGAGACAUUCUUGAGAUAAUUCAGUGGUGGUUUUUACUCUGGAAAUUUGCAUGUCCACUGCAUGAAGUGGAAGAGUUGGGCUACAUUUGAUAUUAUGAAAUAUCACAAACCAGUGUUAGCUUUUUUUGGAGAAGAUGAGGAGUAUCUUGCUAAUGGUACCAGACACUUGAAGCCAUGCUGAGCAGGACAUGAAAUAUUUACCAUCUCUUUUUAGGUGAGAAGGAAGAUUCCUCAUUAAAAUUUUAAAUUUACAUUUCCAUCCAUCAGCCCGAUUUCCAAUUUGUGCCAUGUUCUCAAAUUGUCAAAGAACUGAUAUCUUCAGAAAAUGGAUUGUGAGGGAGCCUCUACAACAUGUCUGUGAAAUUUUCCUUAGACCAAGAUGGUUGAAGAAAACUUGCAUGUUUUUGGACAAGGUGAGGCAGUUUAUUCCCGUUUAUGUAAGGAGUCUGAACCUUGCAGGGAGGCUCACAUGUGCACUGACCACUUGCAUAACUGCACUUACAGAUAGUUCUUACCUCCCCUCUCGGAGCUUAAGCAACAGGGAUAAAUGAUAGUGAAUGAUGACUUUGUCUAUCUUAAUCUCUAAAUGCACUGUAGUUUGCCAAAUAUUUUUGAGUUAGCUGACAUAUUUUUUGAGAGCUAUAUCUCAUAUACAAAGACGCAGGCUGUCUACGUUAGUGCUUUGCCACUUAAACACAGAGCUUCCUGAUGACACCUGUUCACUCUGAUGUGCAAUUUGUGGUACAUCGAUUUGUAGUUUGCACUUCCUAUAAUCACUUUUAUAACUUAGCACUCAAUUAUAGUACUUGUUUCAGGAAUGCCUGCCUGUCUUAUAUUCUUUCUUAUCUUAGAAUUUUUUGGAGGACACAUUUAUUAAGCAUUCGUUCAAUAAAUAUUGGUUAAGUUCCUCCUAGUUAUCAAGUGCUGGGUGCUAGAGAUUUGAGUAUGAUUGCAUUGUUCUUUUCCGGAAGUUUAUCUUUAAAGAGCGACAUAAGUAAAUAGAAAGUCACAAAUGUGUGAGUGUAUGUGUGUGUAUAUGCACGUGUAUGUGCACAUUCCUGGAAAGGCAAAAGAGAGCCUAACCUGUGUUGCAAAAAUGUGCUUGCCCUCAGGGGAGAGCUAAGAACAAAGAGAAGUCCUUUGCAGUCCCUGUUCCAUUUACAUGCCUCUUAGAGGGAGGGACCAAGGUAAGAUUUCAGAGGUUGAAGUAGAGAGACAGAAAUAGAGGCAGAAAGCUAGAGGCAAAGAGAGACAGCAACCAGUUGGGAAAAAAGCAACCAGUUGGGCAGAAAAUAAGAUAAGCAGAAUUGUAAUGUGAGCACAGUUGUAAGGGAAUCCCCUGAAACAGAAGAGAAAGAAAAUCCAACUUCAAGUGUCAUCAUUUCUGAUUCAUCUUGAAGCACUAAAUAACAUGUGACCUGGUCAAUAGAUUCUGUCCUGGAAGUUGGCUGAGCAGCCUUACAGUUCCAGGAUCUUCCACUCCAGUAGCCUCCAGUCUUAUCUCUGACUGCAGAUGAUUCCUGAGCCCCACUCCGGGUGGCCUGACUUGACACCCUCCCUAGUCCUCCUGCAUGAAGGCCAGAGUAUGGAUUCAAGCCUGACUUUUCUUACUUUUGCUCUGAUGUUAAAGGAUCUACUUUAAAGAUCUUGUGGGUGUAUUUUGCACAGGUCUAGUUGAUAUUACUGUUUUUUUUUUUUUUUUUUUUGAAAAUGCUCUAUAGUAUUUUCCUCAACCAUUGUUUUAAAAGCUUAAUUGGAUUAUUUGGGUAUAGGCCACAAUCUGGUUACCCUAUUGAUUCAGGGAAUGUUAAACCUCUGAUUCAGAAAUCAGAAACUUGUUUUAAUUCUCCCCCUUUGGUUCCUUUCCAAUUUCUCUGUAUCUUUUAACCCCUAUUGCCACUGCCUUGACUUAGGCCCCUCUGUCCUUUCUCCCUCCCUCUCUGCUCUUCUUCUUUCUCUCUCCUUCCCUCACUUGCUUGGAUUACCGCAAUGGAGUCCUCAGUUGUCUUCUUGCCUUUAAUCCAGCCUCUUGUUCAUCCCCAGUCUGCCUUCUAUUUUGUGUCCUCUCUGAUGUCAAAGACAAAACUAAGUUCAAGAUAAAAUUAACCCAGGUUGUUUGUUCAUAAACUUCUUGUAAGGAAACCCAUCUAUUGUCUCUUUUGUUUCAGCAGUUCCAAAGGCAUAGAACGUAAAAUCAGUUUUAUAGGAUAAAAGAGGAAACACUGAGUCAGUCUCUAAAUGUUACAUGUUUUGUGACUUUGGAAGUUUUUGGAAGCAGGAGAGGCUUCCAAUUUGUCUUCAGUACAUUUGGCAGUCUUUGUUUGGCUACAAGAGGGCAAGCUAGCAGUUUGGGGAUUUCAAAAAAGGAAGGACUGUCCAAUAUGGGUGGAGGGUUUUUGGUUGCUGGCCAUUUCUUGAACUGGAGGAAGCUGAUGGGUUUCUUUUUAGGGUGAUGGACUUCAUGAGAAGCUCAAUGUCAUGGAAGGCAGUCUUGCAGCUAAUGUCAUCCUUAUGCUUAAUCUUCUUCAAUGACACCCCUUUGCCUUCAGGAAAAGACCAAUUUCUGCAGCCUGUUAUACAGGCUCUUCCUUAAUUCUUGAGUCUUAUAAAGUACUUUAUGCCUCAUUCAUACAUAAUGACUAACAGUUGCCCAAACACAUGUGAGCUCUCUUUCUCCUUUUCCUUUGAGACUUUACAUGUUAUAUUUCUUCUACCUGGAACUUUCUUCAUCCUUACCGUUAUACAUGCACACACAUGUAGAGAGUCUUCAUUUACUCAUUUAUUUAAAAAUUUCCCCCAGAUCUGUUAAUGUAUAAUUGACAAACAAAAUUGUAUAUCUUUGUGCUAUACAAUGUAAUAUUUUGAUGUAUGCAUACAUGGUGAAAUGAUUAAAUCAAGCUAAUUAACAUAACCAUCACUUCACAUACUCAUCUUUUUUUUUCUGUUGUGAGAAAAAUUUGAGAUCUACUUUCUUCACAAUUUUUAAGUAUAAUUGUUAACUAUAGUCAUCAUGCUGUACAAUACAUCUCUGAAACUUAUUUAUCCUUUCUAAUUGACACUUUGUACCCUUUGACCAAUAUCUCUCUUCAUUAGCCACUCCCUCUCCCUAGCCCCUGGUAAAUACCAUUCUACUGUCUGCUUCUAUGAAUGCGUGUUUUAAGAUACCACAUAUAAGUGAGAUUAUGCAGUAUUUGUCUUCCUGUGCCUGACUUAUUUCACUUCAGUUAAUGUGCUUCAGGUUCAUUAAUGUUGUUGCAAAUGACAGCAUUUCGUUCUUUUUUAAGGUUAAAUAGUCAAAUAGUCUUCUAUUGUGUAUACAUGCCACAUUUUCUUUAUCCAUUCAUCUAUCGAUGAACAUGUAGGUUUUUUACCCAUUUUAGCUAUUGUGAAUAAGGCUGCAAUGCAUAUAGGAGGGAAGAUAUCUGUUGGACAUACUGAUUUCAGUUCCAUACUCUCCCAACCUCUGUCUGUUAUACCCAUUUCCAAAGCUGCUUCCACAUUUUCAGGUAUCUUUAUAGCAAUGCCCCACUUCUCAAUACCAAUUUUCUGUAUUAGUCAGUUCUCACAGGUGCUAUAAAGAAAUGCCUGAGACUGAACAGUUUACUUUAAAAAAAACAGGUUUAAUUGGCUCAUGAUUCUGCAGGCUGUACAGGAAGCAUGACGGCAUCUGCUUGGCUUCUGAGAAGGCCUCAGGAAACUUAGAAUCAUGGUGGAAGGUGAAGGGGGAGCCAGCACUUCACAUGGCCAGAGCAGAAGAAAGAGAAGGCAGGGAAGGUACCACACACUUUUAAACAAUCAGAUCUCACAAAAAUUCACUCACUGUCACAAGAACAGAACCAAGGGGCAAAUCUGCCCCAUGAUCCAGUCACCUCCCACCAGGUCCCACCUCCAACAUGGGAGAUUAAAAUUCAACAUGAGAUUUGGGCAGGGAUAGAGAUCCAAACCAUAUUAGUCCCUCCACUCUACUGUACAUUUCAUAAAAGUAAGAAUUAGGAACUAUGUGUCAUCUUUAUAGUCUCAGUGAUCAGCACUUAUCAGGGGCUCAAUAAAUAUAAGUGAAUUGAUUAAACCAUUAAUUAAUUAUUGCUUGGAGGUUUCCUUUCACAUCAAACUUUAUUACAGUGUAUGACGGAAAGCUUGCUCAAAGAGAAUGAGGAUUCUCUGCAGCCUCAGUCAUGGUUUCCUGAUUUUUGCUUAAACCUCACCAGAAAUUUCAACAGCAACUCAUUACUGAAGUUAUUCAGUAGAUGCUUUUUUAUAGCAUAAGCAUCUCAUGUGUGUUCUACACAUGGCAGUCACUCAAUGUACAUUUGCUGAGGUUUGUCUUCCAAUGACUGAUGAUACUGUUUUUAUUUGCAAAGUCAUAUUCCAGCUGGAGCAAUUUACGCCUCUUGUCAAAGAGGAUGGUGGUAGGUGCAAGGCUGAAAUGUUUCUAAUAGACUCCUCUUUUAAUUCUUUUUUGAAUUUUAUUUUUUAUUAUUAUUAUACUUUAAGUUUUAGGGUACAUGUGCACAAUGUGCAGGUUAGUUACAUAUGUAUACAUGUGCCAUGCUGGUGCACUGCACCCAUUAACUCGUCAUCUAGCAUUAGGUAUAUCUCCUAAUGCUAUCCCUCCCCCCUCUCCCCACCCCAUAACAGUCCUCAGAGUGUGAUGUUCCCCUUCCUGUGUCCAUGUGUUCUCAUUGUUCAAUUCCCACCUAUGAGUGAGAAUAUGUGGUGUUUGGUUUUUUGUUCUUGCGAUAGUUUACUGAGAAUGAUGAUUUCCAAUUUCAUCCAUGUCCGUACAAAGGACAUGAACUCAUCAUUUUUUAUGGCUGCAUAGUAUUCCACGGUGUAUAUGUGCCACAUUUUCUUAAUCCAGUGUAUCAUUGUUGGACAUUGGGUUGGUUCCAAGUCUUUGCUAUUGUGAAUAGUGCCGCAGUAAACAUACGUGUGCGUGUGUCUUUAUAGCAGCAUGAUUAAUUCCUUUCUGUACUGCAUCCCCCACCCCACUCCACAAUCUUGAGCCAAUAGAUCAUUAAGAGUGGAAACAGUCUCACCACCAGGUUUCUGAUAGGACUGCCUGUAGGCAUCACAGCAUUAGUUCAAAUGUGCUUUUAGUUUGAGAUUUUCUUUUUUAACUUUUGGAGUGGUGAAACAAUGCUUAGAAUCUAUUUGUUUAUUCCUUAGCAGGUGCUAAUUUUAUUUUAUUUUCAACAGUUGCUGCUUAAAUAUUUAAGAGGAAGUUUCCCUGGAUGCAGGGUAGGUGGCAGAAUUGCUCACAUGGUAGAAAGAAAACAUGGAAGAAAGGAAAUUGGUUGUGUUCUAGUACUUUUCUCUCAUGAUUACCACUUGGUCAGCCUCUAAAUCAUGCAUGCUUACAUGAAUUUUGUAUUUGCUUUUUGCCUUCGGUACAUUGGGAAGCACUAUUUUGUAAACUAUCUGAGUCUAAAAUGAAAUAUGAGCUAACUGAAUUCAGCAUCAUAUUAAAAAAUACUUCAGGUUGAUUUUAGGAAUAUUAGAAUGCUUCAUCCUUAGGGGAACCUCACAAUACAGUCACACAUACUCAUGUGUGAGUAUGUAUAUUCACACAUACUCAUGUGUGAGUAUGUAUAUUCACACAUACUCAUGUGUGAGUAUGUAUAUUCACACAUACAUGUGACACAAUAUACACAUGUCAUACAUGUGAUACUAUAAAUCAGGAGUAGGUUGGGUUGGGAGAAUGAUCUCAUACAAUAUAGAAAAAGAAAUUGGAUCCAUACCCAUUUCAUAUUGUGAAUAUGGUAUUGUGAGGUUCUACCCUUGAGAGAAUCUUACAAUAUACUCAUCAUACUCAUAUGCUAUACACAUUAUACUCAUCAUAUGGUAUAUGGAUACUGUAAUGUAGUAUCAAUAUACUACAUUAAUGGACUAAAGAAAAAAAGUGUAAUUUCUUAAGAGGUGAAAAACAAAACGUAGCAUUUAAUAAAGCUGGAUACUUAUUUGUGAUUAAAAAACACUUAGAAAACUGUAACCAGAAAGUAAUUUCCUUCACUUCACGAAGUCUCUAUACAAACAUCUUACAUGAUGGAGAAACAUGAUAUGUUGCUUUUAAGAUUAGAUCAAGAACAAGAUAGAAUUGCCUAUUAUCACCAUGGUAUUUAACAGAGUAUAAAUUCCUAGAUACAUAAGUAAGAGAUGAAAAAAAUAAAAGGGAAAAGAUUGAAAGAGAAAAGACAAACUUUGUUCCUUAAAGGUGAUAAGUUCAUCUACAUAGAUAACACAGUAUCUUCUGCAGACACUAUUAGAACAAAGAAGAACACUCUGAAAGGAUACCAGAUCCAAAAUCUAUUAAGUAUAAUCAGUGGCAUCUCUUCCAUCCCGGCAAACAUUAUCUUCACAAAAUACCAUUCUGAAAUAGAGAACAAAACAGCAAUAACCGAAUUUAUAAUUGUCUUUGCAGAUAAAAAUCUGGGAGUGUUUAAUAAUACCUGAAUAAAUAAAUAUUUAUACUUUAUUUGUGAUGGAACAACCUAACCUUAUAAAAGCAUUGUCUCCCAAAAUUCAUUUUCAAAUUGUAGUAGUCUAUUUUAACACUGCUAUAAAGAUACCACCUGAAAAGGGGUAAUUUAUAAAUAAAAGAGGUUUAAUUGACUCCGUUCCACGUAGCUGGGGAGGCCUCAGGAAACUUACAAUCAUGGCGGAAGGGAAAGCAGACACUUUCUUCACAAGGUGGCAGGAAAGCUAAAGCCGCCAGCAAGAGAGGAACUACCAAACAAUUAUAAAACCAUCAGAUCUUGCAAGAACUCUCUCACUACCACAAGAAAAGCAUGGAGGAAACUGCCCCCAUGAUUCAAUGGCCUCCCGCCAGGUUAAUCACACCUGGGGAUUACAACUGAAGAUGAGCUUUGGGUGGGGACACAAAGCCAAUCAUAUUACAAAUUCAAUACAAUUCCAGUAAAAAUUUCAAAAGGAAUUUUUGAAUAACUCAACAAACAUUCUAAACUUUCAUGAGAAAAUAAAAGUUCAUAAGUAGCUGGGUUGACUUUGAAAGAGAAGAGCAAACAUGGGCCUUGCUAUAGCAGAUAUGAAGCCAUGCUAUACAUUAUUGUGAUUUUAAAAAGUGUAGUACUAGUGCAGAGAUAAACAAAUACAUCAAUUGGAAAAAAACAGAGAUUAUAACAAUAGAUUCACAUGUACCUGGAGACUUCAUGUAUGACAUAUGUGAUACCACAAGUCAGGAGUAGGUUGGGUUGGGAAAAUGGUCUCACACAAUAUAAAAAAAAAAUGAAGCUGGAUCCAUACUUAUAUCAUAUACUAAGAUAAAUUACACAGAGAUUAAAGCCCAUAUUCAAGAGGUAAAACUAUAAAAUUAAGAGAAGAAAAUUUGAGACAAUUUCCAAUAAUAUUGGAAAGACCCUCAAAGCACAAACCACAAAGUAGAAGAUUUAUAGGCUUGACUAUAUUAAAGGAUUUCUGUUUAACAAAAGGCACCAUAAAUACUGCUAACAGAUGGAUAACACUCUGGGAGACGACAUUUGCAUUAUCUGAAAAUAACAUCUAGAAAAUACAAGGAAUGCCUGCAAAUUAACAAGAAAAAGAUGGAAAACCCACUGGAGAAAAUAAGUAUAGGAUAUGAGUCAGUGUGUUACUGAGGGAGAAAUCUGUAAUGAUAAUAUGAACACAGCAGAUGCUCAACCAUAUUAGCAAUCAAAGAAAUGCAAAUCAAAAUAAAAAAUAAAAUACCACUUUACCUUCAUCAGACCGCUUAAGCCCCAAAAGGUGGAUAAUUUCAAAUACUGUGAGAAUGUGGAGGAAGCAACAGAACCCUCACACACAGCUGACAAGAGGAUAAAAUUAUAUAGUAAUUGUGUGGUGCAAAAUGACAGGAAAAAUUGGACUUUAGAUAGUCAAGGGCCCAGCAAUCCCACUUCGGAGUAGCUCCCACAGGUCCCUGAAGGGAUGUGUUUGAAGAUUUUCAUUACAGCACUUUUGGUGGCAACAGGGAAUUGGAGGCAACCCAUGUUGAUAUUACGAGGGGAAUGGAUUUGUAAAAUAAGAUGAAUGCAAACUAUCGAUUACCUUGCAAGAAUAUUUUGUCAUCUAGAUACACAUAUAACAAUAUAAAUACAUUCAAAAGCAGUACUGAGCAAGAAAAGUAAGAAACCAAAUGAGAUCCAUAUGCAUUAUGCAUUUCUUAAGAAAACGUACCUAUACAAUGACAUGAAAGCUUAUAUAUUGGGUUGGAAUAUAUGAGGGGUUGGAAGUGGGGAUCAGAAAUAAAUAAAAAAAUUGUUUAAAAAUAAAAUUUUUAAAAAUUCUGCAUGACCUAAAAGUGGGAGUGUGUCGUAAACUGACUAAAAAGAUAUCUGGGCAGAAUUUACACAUGACUCUGAACAUACAUGUGUUGCUAUUUAGGGAAAUAUUUCCAGGGAUAGUAAGAACACUUUUUUUUUUUUUUUUUUAAAGAGAGGGUCUCCCUUUGUCACCCAGGCUGGAGUGCAGUGGAGCAAUCACGACUCACCGCAACCUUGAUCUCCUGGGUUCAAGUAGUCCUCCCACCUCAGCCUCCUGAGUUAGCUGGGACUAUGGGCACGUGCCACCAGGCCCCGCUAACAUUUGAAAUUCUUUUUGUAGAGAUGAGAUCUCACUAUGUUUCCCAGGCGGGUCUUGAACUCCUGGGCUGAAGCAUUCCUCCUGCGUUGGCCUCCCAAAGUGCUGAGAUUACAGGUGUGAGCUACCAUGCCGGGCCUUUAAGGGAAAUAACUUUCCUGGAGUCUUAGAAUAAAUAUAAAGAUGAAACAUUAAAUGGCCUUAGGUAUAUUCUAAUAAUUAUUAUUGAUGUAUAUCCUCAUGCUUUAAUCAGUUUUUAGCUAUACAGUCAUACAUCAUUAACUCCUUUUAACAGUGAUGGAGAUAUGUUCUGAGAAAUGUGUCAUUGGGCAAUUUCAUCAUCUGUAAACAACAUAGAGUGUACUUACACAUAGAUAGUGUAGCCCACUAUACACCUAGGUCAUAUGGUUAAUACAUUUGAAAUUGUUGACACCUUUCUUGACUUUUUUUCUGGAGGCUAUAAUACUAUUAAUCGAGAAAAUACAAUUUGUAAGGUGCCAGUGUAAUUAGUAAGCUUAGUACAAAACCUGCUAAAUAGGGGAUAUUCUACGUUACAUGUCAUCAGUUUUGAAAUGUGUAAACAUUUUAACUCAAACAUGUUCACAAGUACUGCCUUUUUAAAAUUCAGACUUUCUAUAAACAUUUUAUAAGACAAAACAUCAAUUA